AUGAUCAAAGGUGGCCUCUACAUGUAAGCUACCACUUGAGGAUGGGCCCGCGUACCAUUAGCUUGUUGGUGGGGUAAUGGCCUACCAAGGCUACGAUGGUUAGCUGGUCUGAGAGGAUGAUCAGCCACACUGGAACUGACACACGGUCCAGACUCCUACGGGAGGCAGCAGUGGGGAAGUUUUGCGCAAUGGGGGGAAACCCUGACGCAGCAACGCCGCGUGAGUGAUGAAGGCCUUCGGGUCGUAAAGCUCUGUCAAGUGGGAAGAAUAUGUUCGAUGUUAAUACCAUCGUGCACUGACGGUACCACUGAAGGAAGCACCGGCUAACUCCGUG
rnacentral:rRNA from 1 species